CCUCCUCAUCAGAGGAGUUUCCCAUGAGAUUGACUUAAAAUUUGAGAAUUUUGGACAACUGCAGAUACCAGCAGAAAAAGCUGAUAAAGUGUGGAGAUUCACAACACGUCCUGUAUUUACUUCACAAAGAGAUACCUCCUCAGAUGUCGGGGGAGGAUGAACCAAUUCCUGGUACAUCAGGAACUGAGUUGAUUGAAGGCUCUGAACAGCCAAUCUGGAAGGGAUUUGGCUGAAGCUCCAGCUGGGGAAAACCUGCAGCAGCAGACGGCCAGCAACAAGGAGGAGGAACUGCCUUCUGCAUUUGAUCCAAGAACAUAUAGGGCAGAGAAAAGACAGGAGCAGAGAAGGUCAGCCAGACUACUCGAGAGAAGAGGGCCCCAGCUAUUUUGAUGGGCUGCACCAGAAGCCGGCUAUUUAUCACAGCAGACAGAUGGAGGCAUUGCUGGAACAAUGUGUUUGUUUUCUAGCUGUGUGUUUGGUCAUUGUGAUUCCUGCUUCACUCUCGAUUGACAUUCUGUUUAGAAUUGAAUCAUGCCUUGGAGACUCUGAAUUUUCUUGCCUCAUAAUCUCUCUUCUAUGUGAAUUUAAGUUUUGCCUGAUGGGUUUAAGUUUGUAUGGUGGAGUUAUUUUGUUUGAGCAACUUUCAAAUGUCUUGUGGACUAUUGGGCCAUUGCUCUGUGGACUAACUUUGGUCUGCUUGUGGCUGGACUUGUUUGGGACCAUUCUGGAUUUUGAUGAAGGGAAUUGCUGGGGAAUAUUAAUAAACUCACUAAACCACAGUUAUGUGUUUGUGUGAAUGGGGCAGCACAAUAAGGUACAAAACUGGCAAACAUGUUAGACUGGGUUUGCAUAUCAUGCUAAACUAUUGUUUAUUUAAACAUGAUUUAUUAAAUGAAAGUUAGAUACUUUUACCAUUUUGACAAGCCAUAAAUCAUAGUUUACAAGAAACAAUUGCUGGUUUCACACAACAUGCCAAGAAAAUCCCAACAAACAGUUAUAUAUGUUAAUGUUGUAUGAACUCAGUGUUACCCUGAAUUAGGAAUUAAUAGAAAGCAAAAUCUUUAGGGAGGGAAUACUUUUAUUUAUUUAGCCAGCUAAUUGAUAUCCUUUCUUUGCACAUAUAAAAUGCUUGAUUUACCCAAAUUUAUGCAAUAGCUGCUAAUUAUGGUAAGGAGCAGGAGUAUAAACUAUGCAGAAUAACAGACAUUAAUAACUGACUUAUGAAGAAUAUCCAUUCUUGCACAGAUAAGCUGAUUCACAUAUAUAGGUCGGCUACAAUCAUACAUUAAAUCAUAAAAUAAUUUGACUGGUUAUAGUUUAGCAGUUUGUAUAAACCCAGCCAUUUGUGAUUUUAUAUAAAAAUUGUGGCUAAGCACAAAACCUUGUAUGAGUCAGAGUUUUGGCCUUGAUCCUCAAGUCACGAGAACUACAAGUGGACUUCUGAGUGUCUCAGAUAUUUCAGUCGCCCUAGCUUCUUUUUAAGGCUACAUUAAUAACUCUAUUUUGAAUAAUACGUUUCCUUUACCAUUGAGCACUCAAUCAAACAUAGGAACUGGAGCCUCUGUCACUAAGUAAUGUGGUUAUUAAGUGAGUCACACUCGAUUUUACAGUGGGUUUUUUUGUGAUGAUUGAUAAGUGAAUCAAAUGGUUUUUAGGUAAAUCUGGCUAUUCCUAUUGAUGUUGCUUGCCAGAAGCCCCAUGGGAAGGUCCCAGAUGGUGAUCACAUAAUCCUGGUUCACUAUAACCAUUGUAAUUACAUGCCACUUGUCAAGACUCAAAUUAAGAUCAAAGUAAGUCAAGAGCCGUGGGGGUGCAGUGGUUAGAAUGCAGUACUACAGGCUACUUCUGCUGACUGCUGGUUGCCAGCAGUUCGAUUCUCACUGGCUCAAGUUUGACUCAACCAUCCAUCCUUCCAAGGAUCCAGAUUGUUGGGGGCAAUAUGCUGACUCUGUAAACCGCUUAGAGAGGGCUGUAAAGCACUGUGAAAUGGUAUGUAAGUCUAAAUGCUAUUGCUAUUUUUCAGCAUCAUUGUAAUUUCAAAGCAGUCAUUAAUGAGUAGUCUUAAGACAAGGAUUACCUGCCCUAGAAACCAAAGGAUCACUGACUUAGGCCAGAGCAGAAGCAUCAUUAGGUAAUCAGUUAGUAAGCAUGAACCUAUAAUAUAGGCCUCUUCCCAGGUAAGGAAUUCCAUAUUCAUGUAUAUAAUUUCAUGAUUUCUAUUUCAAUUUGGAAAUUAAGUUACGGACCAUUCUCCGGUUUCAUCAGGCAAUGCUUUGCUCCUCACUUCUCCUCUUUUUGGGAGAAGGGAAAGGAUUAAUGUAAUUUAUAUUUUGCCAUAAGACUAAUUGCUUAGCAAAUAACUGGUUGGCCAUUGGCUAACCCUUAAAUUGCUAUGAAUCCUACUUUCUUCUCAGUAAAUAUGCCUAGAUUGUUCAACCAAAGAACCGAUCGUUGUCGCCUAAAAAAAAGUGAUGGACCAAAGUAUUUGCUUUUGCAACUGACUAUGGAUAUCAUAUAAAGCCCUUAUUAUAUGGGACUGAGAAUAGUGCCCACUUGCAAUAUCUUUAUACAGCAAUACAAAAGUUUGAAAAACCUGCACAAAGACAACUCUUGGAUCAAUAUGUAAUCCAAUAGAAGGAAGGUAUACACAACAUCUGCAGCUUCUAGGAGGGCUGCCAAAUCCUAUAAGGAGCAAACUGCUUGCAUUAGUCUUGACAUAAAAAAAUGAUUUGCAGACAACUGACACAGAAACACAGCCCAUUUUCCUCAGUGCAUUGACCCCUAGAGUCUUCAACAUGGUGCUUGCAGAGACCUUUCUUGACACUGUCCAGUUCCCAGCCACCCGAUAAGUUUUUUUAAAAUCAUAUUAAUGUUUCUCAAUCUUGGCAACUUUAAGA